rnacentral:rRNA from 1 species
AUGAACCGCUAUGGUAUGCCAUUCAUACCUUUUGUUGGUCUUAACAAUCACCGGAAGACCACUGUUUUUGCUUGUGCCAUAGUUUCGGACGAGACCGAACAGACAUGUGUGUGGCUGCUGAAGACUUUUUUGAGGUGCAUGUGUCAAAAGAUGCCGAAGAGUGUAAUCAUAGAUGCUGACGUCGUGAUGAUCAAGGCUAUUCGCGAAGUCUUUCCAGACGUGUGGCACCGUAUAUGCACGUGGCAUAUAGAAAAAAAUAUGAAGAUUCACCUUAGUCACAAGUCCUUGAAGGAGUUCCGAACUCUUCUG